rnacentral:rRNA from 1 species
UGGGGAAUUUUGGACAAUGGGGGCAACCCUGAUCCAGCCAUUCCGCGUGAGUGAAGAAGGCCUUCGGGUUGUAAAGCUCUUUCAGCAGGAACGAAACGGUCGGCUUUAAUAAAGUCGGCUAAUGACGGUACCUGCAGAAGAAGCACCGGCUAACUACGUGCCAGCAGCCGCGGUAAUACGUAGGGUGCGAGCGUUAAUCGGAAUUACUGGGCGUAAAGCGUGCGCAGGCGGCGACAUAAGACAGAUGUGAAAUCCCCGGGCUCAACCUGGGAACUGCGUUUGUGACUGUGUUGCUAGAGUGUAGCAGAGGGGGGUGGAAUUCCACGUGUAGCAGUGAGAUGCGUAGAGAUGUGGAGGAACACCGAUGGCGAAGGCAGCCCCCUGGGUUAACACUGACGCUCAUGCACGAAAGCGUGGGGAGCAAACAGGAUUAGAUACCCCCGUAGUCCCUGAGCGGGCUGGCAAGGCGCAU